rnacentral:rRNA from 2 species
UUUUAUGGAGAGUUUGAUCCUGGCUCAGGAUGAACGCUGGCGGCGUGCUUAACACAUGCAAGUCGAACGAUGACCCCGUGCUUGCACGGGUGAUUAGUGGCGAACGGGUGAGUAACACGUGAGUAACCUGCCCCUGACUCUGGGAUAAGCCCGGGAAACUGGGUCUAAUACUGGAUAUGACCUUUAACCGCAUGGUUUUUGGUGGAAAGAUUUAUCGGUUGGGGAUGGACUCGCGGCCUAUCAGCUUGUUGGUGAGGUAAUGGCUCACCAAGGCGACGACGGGUAGCCGGCCUGAGAGGGUGACCGGCCACACUGGGACUGAGACACGGCCCAGACUCCUACGGGAGGCAGCAGUGGGGAAUAUUGCACAAUGGGCGAAAGCCUGAUGCAGCGACGCCGCGUGAGGGAUGACGGCCUUCGGGUUGUAAACCUCUUUCAGUAGGGAAGAAGCGAAAGUGACGGUACCUGCAGAAGAAGCGCCGGCUAACUACGUGCCAGCAGCCGCGGUAAUACGUAGGGCGCAAGCGUUAUCCGGAUUUAUUGGGCGUAAAGAGCUCGUAGGCGGUUUGUCGCGUCUGCCGUGAAAGUCCGAGGCUCAACCUCGGAUCUGCGGUGGGUACGGGCAGACUAGAGUGAUGUAGGGGAGACUGGAAUUCCUGGUGUAGCGGUGAAAUGCGCAGAUAUCAGGAGGAACACCGAUGGCGAAGGCAGGUCUCUGGGCAUCUACUGACGCUGAGGAGCGAAAGCAUGGGGAGCGAACAGGAUUAGAUACCCUGGUAGUCCAUGCCGUAAACGUUGGGCACUAGGUGUGGGGAACAUUCCACGUUUUCCGCGCCGUAGCUAACGCAUUAAGUGCCCCGCCUGGGGAGUACGGCCGCAAGGCUAAAACUCAAAGGAAUUGACGGGGGCCCGCACAAGCGGCGGAGCAUGCGGAUUAAUUCGAUGCAACGCGAAGAACCUUACCAAGGCUUGACAUGUUCCAGACCGCCUCAGAGAUGGGGUUUCCCUUCGGGGCUGGUUCACAGGUGGUGCAUGGUUGUCGUCAGCUCGUGUCGUGAGAUGUUGGGUUAAGUCCCGCAACGAGCGCAACCCUCGUUCCAUGUUGCCAGCACGUAAAGGUGGGGACUCAUGGGAGACUGCCGGGGUCAACUCGGAGGAAGGUGGGGAUGACGUCAAAUCAUCAUGCCCCUUAUGUCUUGGGCUUCACGCAUGCUACAAUGGCCGGUACAAUGGGUUGCGAUACUGUGAGGUGGAGCUAAUCCCUAAAAGCCGGUCUCAGUUCGGAUUGGGGUCUGCAACUCGACCCCAUGAAGUCGGAGUCGCUAGUAAUCGCAGAUCAGCAACGCUGCGGUGAAUACGUUCCCGGGCCUUGUACACACCGCCCGUCAAGUCACGAAAGUUGGUAACACCCGAAGCCGAUGGCCUAACCACCUUGUGUGGAGGGAGUCGUCGAAGGUGGGACUGGCGAUUGGGACUAAGUCGUAACAAGGUAGCCGUACCGGAAGGUGCGGCUGGAUCACCUCCUUUCUAAGGA